CGAGAGAAGAAGGCAGCGUAUUUUUGGAAAUCAACACGUUUCUCUCAGGGCCACUUAUAGACAGAAAGGCAGAUGGACCUUUAGGCGCCUGGAUAUGUUUGGCAAAUUUAAAGGCAUUCUGGGUGGCCCGCAGCCACCGGUCACCAGCGGUGCUUCCGACCCACCAGCACCGGCUCCUGCUCCUCCAGCUGCAGCGGAAAAAAAGGAUGAUAAAUCUCCUGAAAAGGAAAAGGAAAAU